CCAUGGCCUGGACCCCUCUCCUCCUCAUGCUCCUCUCUCACUGCACAGGUUCCCUCUCCCAGCCUGUGCUGACUCAGCUGACCUCCCUCUCUGCUUCUCUGGGAGCCACAGCCAGACUCACCUGCACCUUCAACAGUGGCUUCAGUGUAGACAACUACUACAUAUACUGGUUCCAGCAGAAUCCAGGGAGCCCUCCCCGGUAUCUCCUGGCAUAUAAAUCAGACUCAGACAAGCACCAGGGCUCCAGGGUCCCCAGCCGCUUCUCUGGAUACAAAGAUACCUCGGCCAAUGCAGGGCUUCUGUACAUCUCUGGGCUUCAGCCUGAGGACGAGGCCGACUAUUACUGUGCUGUAUUUCAUGGCAGUUGGAGUAGCUACAGUUACUCACAGUGCCUCAGAUGA